rnacentral:rRNA from 1 species
GAUGAACGCUGGCGGCGUGCCUAAUACAUGCAAGUCGAGCGAACAGACGAGGAGCUUGCUCCUCUGACGUUAGCGGCGGACGGGUGAGUAACACGUGGAUAACCUACCUAUAAGACUGGGAUAACUUCGGGAAACCGGAGCUAAUCCCGGAUAACAUGUUGAACCGCAUGGUUCAACAGUGAAAGACGGUCUUGCUGUCACUUAUAGAUGGAUCCGCGCCGCAUUAGCUAGUUGGUAAGGUAACGGCUUACCAAGGCAACGAUGCGUAGCCGACCUGAGAGGGGGAUCGGCCACACUGGAACGGAGACGCGGUCCAGACUCCUACGGGAGGCAGCAGUAGGGAAUCUUACGCAGUGGGCGAAAGCAUGACGGAGCAACGCCGCGUGAGUGAAGAAGGUCUUCGGAUCGUAAAGCUCUGUUAUUAGGGAAGAACAAAUGUGUAAGUAACUAUGCACGUCUUGACGGUACCUAGUCAGAAAGCCACGGCUAACUACGUG